rnacentral:rRNA from 1 species
GACGUAGGGCGCGAGCGUUGUCCGGAUUUAUUGGGCGUAAAGAGCUCGUAGGCGGCUUGUUGCGUCAGCUGUGAAAAACCCGCAGCUCAACUGUGGGCUUGCAGCUGAUACGGGCAGGCGUUGAGUUCGGUAGGGGGGAGACUGGGAAUUCCUGGUGUAGCGGUGAAAAUGCGCAGAUAUCAGGAGGAACACCGGUGGCGAAAAGCGGCGCACUGGACCACAACUGACGCUGAGGCGCGAAAGCUAGGGGGAGCAAACAGG